AAGGAAGCCCUUCCUCACCCCUGAGGUGUCGGGACACCCGGGGCACCCCGGGACAGUGGGAGUUGUCCCUGCCCGCGGCAAAGCCCCUUCUUCCCCGACGGCUGAGGGGCGGCGUUCCCUCCCACCGGCCUGUGGGAGGCUCCGGCGCCCUCAGGAACGCGCGGGAAAUCUCCCCUCACCGGCGGCCGAGGGCUGAAAUAGGCGGGCAGAGCUGAGGGCAGAGCAGGACCGAGCCUGGACAGAGCCCUCAGGAACAGCAGCGCCUCCCCAGACAGAGCCGGGAUGUGGGAUCCGGAGGAGCCUGGAACUGCAGAGCAGGCUGCGCCGGCGGGCGUUCAUGAAGAAGUUGCUGACGGUGGUGAGCUCCAGGCCCAGCUGCUGGGAGAUGGUGAUCUGCAUUUCCUUGGAGGGGCGCUUGUUCUCCUUGAAGAUGGCGAAGAGCGUUCGGCGCUGCAGAAGAGAGGAACUUAGCCAGCCCCAUGCAUUCCAAACAGCCAGAAAUCCUGAAAAAUACCUAGGAGCCCCGGGAACGAGGCAGGGAGAAGAGGAGCCACUCGCGGGGCCGGGAUACUGGACACGGCAACAAAACAGCUCCCGGGACUUUCUGGUUUGGGAUGUUUUUACUCCGCUGGCAAAAGUGACUUGGAAAGAGCAGGUGUUAAGCAGGAGCCAAGCCGAGACCAAUAUUCCCUUAAUCCAGCAGUAAGUCCUCUCCCCACGGCUCCUGAGGAUAAGCUGUGACUAUUGAUCCCCCGUUUGUGGUUCCACGGGGGUGCCGAGUCACUUAAACCCAGUUAUCUGCCUGAUGGAAAUAAAGCUGCUCCUCAAUCCCAUUUCGGAGAGAACUCGAUGGGAGGGAAAUGUAAUUACUCUGGUAAUACUGAGCACAAUGAAAUGACCAUCCAAACGUUUCCCAAGGAUUUGAAAUGUUUUUCUUUGGCCGUGAUUCACUUAAAGCAACCCCCCCUGUACAUCCCUGUUGCUACAAUCUCUUAAAAACUGGGCCUCAGAAAUCGAUUUGAUUACCUCUCUGAAUUAAGUAUGCACGAACGAGAGUGAUUGGGAUCAAUACAAAUUAGGUUAAGUACUCCACUGUGUACAAAAUCAUUAUGGAACAAGGAACAAUCGGAAUGAAGAUGCAAAUAAUCACAUUGUCGGGGUGGGCACAGGGAGAAGCAGGUGUGUGGAAGCUCCAGGAGGAAGAUUUCCUGCUCCUUGCCAAAGCUUAAUGCCUGGGCACAGGGCCCUGCCCCGGUGCCCAUUAUGGGGGGAUGAGAACUGCUGGAAAAU